GCCGCGGUGGUGGAAUUGGUAGACACGAUGGAUUCAAAAUCCAUUUUCUUCGGAAGUGACGGUUCAAGUCCGUCUCGCGGUACCA
rnacentral:tRNA from 1 species